UGAGGAAUAUUGGUCAAUGGGCGCAAGCCUGAACCAGCCAUCCCGCGUGCAGGAAGACGGCGCUAUGCGUUGUAAACUGCUUUUCCAGGGGGAGAAACUUGCGCACGUGUUGCGCAAUUGACGGUACCCUGGGAAUAAGCAUCGGCUAACUCCGUGCCAGCAGCCGCGGUAAUACGGAGGAUGCGAGCGUUAUCCGGAUUCAUUGGGUUUAAAGGGUGCGUAGGCGGACUAUUAAGUCAGUGGUGAAAUCCUGCAGCUUAACUGCAGAACUGCCAUUGAUACUGAUAGCCUUGAGUUUGGUUAAGGUAGGCGGAAUGUGUAAUGUAGCGGUGAAAUGCUUAGAUAUUACACAGAACGCCAAUUGCGUAGGCAGCUUACUGAGCUGACACUGACGCUGAGGCACGAAAGCGUGGGGAUCGAACAG
rnacentral:rRNA from 1 species